CGCUGGCGGCGUGCCUAAUACAUGCAAGUCGAACGAGAACCCUUGGAUCGUCUGGGGGGGAGAGUGGCGAACUGGUGAGUAACACGUGGGUGACCUGCCCCGAAGACGGGGAUAACCGUUGGAAACGACGGCUAAUACCCGAUAUACUCGGUGAUUCGGUUCAUCGAGUAAAGGCUCCGGUGCUUCGGGAUGGGCCUGCGGCCUAUCAGCUAGUUGGUGGGGUAAUGGCCCACCAAGGCGAAGACGGGUAGGGGGCGUGAGAGCGCGGNCCCCCACACUGGCACUGAGAUACGGGCCAGACUUCUACGGAAGGCAGCAGUCGGGGAUAUUGCACAAUCGGCGAAAGCCGGAUGCAGCGACGCCGCGUGGGCGAUGAAGGCCUUCGGGUUGUAAAGCCCUUUUAUGGGGGAAGAGACAAGGACGGUACCCCAAGAAUAAGCGUCGGCUAACUACGUGCCAGCAGCCGCGGUAAAACGUAGGACGCAAGCGUUAUCCGGAUUUACUGGGCGUAAAGAGCGUUGAGGCGGUUCCGUAAGUUGGGCGUGAAAGCCCCGGGCUUAACCCGGGGAGGUCGUUCAAAUACUGCGGGACUUGAGGGCAGCAGACGGAGGCGGAAUUCCCGGUGUAGCGGUGAAAUGCGUAGAUAUCGGGAGGAACACCCAGUGGCGAAGGCGGCCUCCUGGGCUGGUUUUGAACGCUGGAGGCGAAAGCCUAAGGGAAGCGAACGGGAAUUAAGAAACCCCGGUUAGUCUUAACCGGUAACCGAUGGAUGCUGGGUGUGCGGGGUAUAGAUCCCCUUCGUGCCGAAGUUAACGCCGUAAGCAUCCCGCCUGGGGAUUACGGCCGCAAGGCUUAAACUCAAACGAAUUGACGGGGGCCCGCACAAGCAGCGGAGCGUGUGGUUUAAUUCGAUGCUACACGAAGAACCUUACCUGGGCUUGACAUGUAGGUAGUAGUGAAGCGAAAGCGGAACGACCCU
rnacentral:rRNA from 1 species